CGGCACAGCGGGAAGCCAGGUGGUGACACCGAGCAGAACCGAAAGCCGUUCUCAGUUCGGAUCGGAGUCUGCAACCCGACUCCGUGAAGCUGGAUUCGCUAGUAAUCGCGCAUCAGCCACGGCGCGGUGAAUACGUUCCCGGGCCUUGUACACACCGCCCGUCAAGCCAUGGAAGCCGGGAGUGCCUGAAGUGCGUGACCGCAAGGAGCGUCCUAAGGCAAUACCGGUGACUGGGGCUAAGUCGUAACAAGGUACC
rnacentral:rRNA from 1 species